rnacentral:rRNA from 1 species
UAGGGAAUCUUCGGCAAUGGACGAAAGUCUGACCGAGCAACGCCGCGUGAGUGAAGAAGGUUUUCGGAUCGUAAAACUCUGUUGUUAGAGAAGAACAAGGACGUUAGUAACUGAACGUCCCCUGACGGUAUCUAACCAGAAAGCCACGGCUAACUACGUGCCAGCAGCCGCGGUAAUACGUAGGUAGCAAGCGUUGUCCGGAUUUAUUGGGCGUAAAGCGAGCGCAGGCGGUUUCUUAAGUCUGAUGUGAAAGCCCCCGGCUCAACCGGGGAGGGUCAUUGGAAACUGGGAGACUUGAGUGCAGAAGAGGAGAGUGGAAUUCCAUGUGUAGCGGUGAAAUGCGUAAAUAUAUGGAGGAACACCAGUGGCGAAGGCGGCUCUCUGGUCUGUAACUGACGCUGAGGCUCGAAAGCGUGGGGAGCAAACAGG